AAUAUCUAGAAUUUGAUAUCCCAAAUAUUCUUCUUCUGUUUCAAAACACACGAAAGUACUAAACUACUUCUACGUAUCAGAACUCCAGUUGCUGACACAUUUAACGGAACUGAAACUGAAGCACAAAUGUCUUCUCUUCUCCUUCUUCUCCUUCAACCUCUGCCAACUCUCACUUCUUCCUCUUCUACACUUCUCUUUCUCCAAAAUCAACUCCAUAGCUCUUCUCUAACCUCUCUUAAAAGACCCAAAAACAUUCUCCUUUCAAAACCUCUCAAAAUCCCAUCUUUUGCUCUCACAGAGUCCUCAGGCUCUCCUGAAUCUCUUGACCCUUCUCCGCAAACCCUCAUUCAAGAGCUCUCGGAUUGCUUUGAUCUUCCACCAGAUUAUUUCCAACAAUUACCGAGUGAUCUUAGAUUAGAUUUAAAUGAUGCAGCUUUUGAUCUUUCGAAUGGACCGGUUCUUGAUGAGUGCGGUAGAGAGCUGGGAGAAAUCUUGUUAAAUCUCUCUCGAGCAUGGGAGCUGGCUGACACAUCAACUUCCCGAACUUUAGCGAGCAAGUUGCCUGUGCUGGAGAGCUCUUUAACAAACAAUGCUAAAUCAGCAUUUGGCAAACGUUUAGUAUCUGCUGGAAGGAGGUUCGAGUCCAUGGGACAGUAUGGUCAGGGUGAACUGCAAAAGAUUGCAAAAACAAUGAUCACAACAGGAAAGCUGCUUUCUGCAAGUUCAAUAUCAACAGCAACUGACGAAGAACCAAAGAAAGAAACAAGAGUCCUGAAGUUUGGAGACCUACAGAUUGAAAUAACACCCGUGAAAGCUAAUAUUGGGGCUGUCAUUGGACUUGUGUUUGGUGUAGGAUUCUUUCAUGGGAACUAGCUCAAGGCAUUCAAAGCAGUCCAGAGAGUUCAUUGGAGUAUGCAAAUGGCAAUGCUUUACUGCUGGCUAAGUCUCUGAGAGGAACUCUACUUGCCCUUUGCUACUCAUCAACCUUACUGUCUGCUUGUACCACUGUGGGGCUUUUCUUUCUGGCAAGACAAGUUAAAUCGAAGGAAAAUUGAGCUUUCAGCCCACUUCCACUAAAAGUGAUGACAUGAAGGUCUUGGUAUUUUGUCUAACAAUGGAAGCACAGAACUACUCAAGUAUGAUGUCAUAAUUGCCUAAUCUUUUCCUUAUUUUUGACCUACCUCUGAAAGUGUACAAGGCCAUAUGAGCUAAAAAGUUCUACUGUCUGCAUUUUGCCUUAUGUUUUGUAAUGCAAAGGUCUCAAGAUUUACAUUAUAGUUGUACAGCCAAUAUAUAUAAGUGCAUACCUUCCUUUUAUAUUUA